GCCGGAGUGGUGGAAUGGCAGACGCGCCGGACUCAAAAUCCGGUAGGGGCAACCCUGUGGGGGUUCAAGUCCCCCCUCCGGCACCA
rnacentral:tRNA from 1 species